GUUGGGGUGGGUGGGCAGUCAAAUAGCUACUUUGUUUCAGAGUUAGAACUUGAACUCUCAUCCCUCAGGUCCUCUUGCUUGGGCACCUUUCCCACAGCCACAUUGACCGAUGGCAUCAGGUGCCUACAGGGCACUAGCAGCUGUCGCAAAGUUCUCCAGCAGAAUUGCAUUCGGGCCCCUGCCUCUCUUGGGGAUUCUGUUCCCCUUCCUCAGAGGGAGCAGAAUUCUCCGCCUCCCUCCCCAAUAGGUGUGGCAAUCACGCUCUCUUCCAGUAAGUUCCCUUUCACUUCAUCAGCAUUUCAGGCUGCGGCAGCCUGCUCCUGGGCAGAGCUGGGUUUGCUGUGCUGGGGACAGGCUGGGGAGAGAGAAUGUGAGGGAAGGUUGCAGCUGCUGUGUCCUGAGCACCACGAAGAGAUGCCCCACCCAUCUCCUGGUGUGGGCACGCUGGAGUUUAACGCAGAGCAGGAGCACAUGGCGGGGGGGUAGGAGAGGUGUGGAGGGAAAGCCAGCACAGAUUUAGUCAUCAAAGUGCUGAAACACCACUGGUAAUUCAGAGUGAUGAGGAGAACCUGAUUUAGUGGAAUUCUCUCCAGAUACUUCUGUUCAUUCAUUGGAUGAAGGUAGAGUGACCAGCUGAAACCCCCAAGGAAGGUUCUAAGCUGUACUCUAGUACAGGUACGUCAGUCAAUGUGGAGGUUUUUGGGGGGCUUCAAGUGUGAGCUGGCACCAAGACGUACUCUUUUUUCUAACCCUCCCCAGGCUGACCUCUUCAUUCCUUGAAAAUUGAUGGUCAGCAGACAGGUUUUGAGAGCUGCAGAUUCUUAGCCUGAUUGUGGGACCCACACACACCAGCCUGGAGGUUUGAAUUCCUCAGAGACUCCUCACGGUCCCUGGUUGUCAAAUUUAUUUAAGUGUAGCUGCUACAUUCACAUCUGACCAAAUAAAAGCCACCCAUUAAUAGUCCGUGUUUUUAGGGCACUCUUUGACACUUUGGUGACAACUCUUAGAGUAUUUCAGUCCUCUCUGAAAGUCAUAAAAAAACAAGACAACAAGAUAACCAACAUCAAAAAACGAAAGAACUUCAAAACUUGUCUGUCAGAGUCAUAAAGGGAGGAAUGAGACCGCAUCACCCUGCCUUAGAUCUUGUGGGAAAUCCCUAUGAGGAGGGAGGGGAGGAUAUGGAGAAGUUAAGAGUUGAGCCAUCGUCUAAGUAAAUGGCUUGAAAUGACCUAGGCAGUGAUUUCUGGUUAUGCUCCUUCCCAGUUCAAAUUCUUUCAUCGGUUCUGUUCCCCAGAAGGAUGCAAUCCAUAUUUUUUCCCAAUCUUUUCCCAGACUCAUUUCCUGCUCCCUCAUUCUUACUUCCCCAACCAGCUAGUGCUGUUACCCAUCAUGCCCCUUCCCUCUUCAGAGAAGAAGCAAACCGGAAGCCAUCUUUGGAGACCCAGCACACUCCUCCUUUCUCUUGCCACUAGGCCUUUGACAAAGCUCCUGUCACAUGCUGGGGAUUAUGCUCUUCUCCUGCCCCUUCAGUAUAACAUUGAAACACUCUGAAGACAUUGUGGGUCUGACUGUAAUUUACUUUGUAUGAUUACAAGGGCACAGUGGAAGGCUACAUCCUGUUAAUGAGAAAAGCCCGGGCAUACACACACUAACAAAAAUGUUGGUGAUCCUCGCCCUCAAACCUGGUUUCUUCUUUCUAAGCUUCAUCCUCCUAGACUCUCCUCUCCAUGGUCUCUCCUGGCUUUGGGUAUAAAACUAUUCCCACUCUUUUCCACUCCAGGGUAUUUCAGGUCUGUGUGCAGACCCAAGGGGUGAAUUGGAUCUGUAGAAGUGGCCCGGCUCUUCCUGACCCUGUAUUGCUUAAUCCAGCCAACCUAAUUGCGAAAGGAAGAGAAGCAAUACUGCCCUAACACAUAUUUAAGUCCUUUGUAAAUAAUUCUCC
rnacentral:lncRNA from 1 species